rnacentral:rRNA from 1 species
GAUGAACGCUAGCGGGAGGCUUAAUACAUGCAAGUCGAGCGGCAAGUUUUGAUAGCAAUAUUGGAACCUAGAGCGGCGCACGGGUGAGUAACGCGUACAUGACCUGCCCUAUACUGGGGGAUAGUCUUGGGAAACUGAGAAUAAUCCCGCAUGUGAUUAGAAUGCUGCAUGGCAAAUUAAUUAAAGCUGAGGCGGUAUAGGAUGGGUGUGCGUCUGAUUAGCUAGUUGGUAGUGUAACGGACUACCAAGGCGAUGAUCAGUAGGGGGCGUGAGAGCGUGACCCCCCACACGGUACGUGAGACACGGACCCGACUCCUACGGGAGGCAGCAGUAAGGAAUAUUGGUCAAUGGAGGGAACUCUGAACCAGCCAUCCCGCGUGAAGGAUGAAGGGGCGUCUGCCUUGUAAACUUCUUUUGUCAUGGGACGAAAAAACUUAAUUUAUUAAGGACUGACGGUACCAUGAGAAUAAGCACCGGCUAACUCCGUGCCAGCAGCCG